rnacentral:rRNA from 1 species
GAUGAACGCUGGCGGCGUGCCUAAUACAUGCAAGUCGAGCGAACGGACGAGAAGCUUGCUUCUCUGAUGUUAGCGGCGGACGGGUGAGUAACACGUGGAUAACCUACCUAUAAGACUGGGAUAACUUCGGGAAACCGUAGCUAAUACCGGAUAAUAUUUUGAACCGCAUGGUUCAAAAGUGAAAGACGGUCUUGCUGUCACUUAUAGAUGGAUCCGCGCUGCAUUAGCUAGUUGGUAAGGUAACGGCUUACCAAGGCAACGAUGCAUAGCCGACCUGAGAGGGUGAUCGGCCACACUGGAACUGAGACACGGUCCAGACUCCUACGGGAGGCAGCAGUAGGGAAUCUUCCGCAAUGGGCGAAAGCCUGACGGAGCAACGACGCGUGAGUGAUGAAGGUCUUCGGAUCGUAAAACUCUGUUAUUAGGGAAGAACAUAUGUGUAAGUAACUGUGCACAUCUUGACGGUACCUAAUCAGAAAGCCGCGGCUAACUACGUG